UGAUAAGAGAAAAUACUUAAAAAAUACAAUCAUAAAUAAUUUCCAAAGUUUUCAACAAACUGAUAUCAGUGUCCCAUUUAGGCGAGAGUCAAAGCUACCAUUCAUUGAAUAGAGUUGUCAGCUCAUCUAAAAUGUUAAACAUUCUGGCAACUUUUUAUUCGAUCAAGAUUGGAAUCCAGCGUUGUCCGGUUUAGGCGAGAGUCAAGGCUAUUCUAUCUUAUGAGCUUCUACCAUUGUUUCAUAUUUUGCAAGUCAAAUACAGUCGCCAGCAUUAGGGUGAUCCAUACCAUAUAAAACACUUACAAAGCUACUUAUCUUUCUAGAUUAAACGGUGCGAACUUGCUAAUGAACGUUCCUUCAUUAGGGAGGAUUACUCACUAAAACAAACGCUAUGUAAAACCAACAAUGGAGAUCGAAUAUCUUAAAAUGUAUUUUCUUUAUUAUUUUAAUAAAAUAUAUUCAUUAAAUACGAAUUUAGAUUUAAAAUUCUAAAUUAGAAUUUAAUUUAAUAUUUAUAAAAUUAUACUUAGGGGUAUGCUCUUAAUGGGUAUUACCCAUGAAUGGGUAUUUAAUUAUGGACCGUUAGAUUUAAUCUAAUGAAUGAUAUUUAAAGUUAUCAAAUUUUUUUAAAAUUAAUAUUUUUUGUUUUGACCUGUUACCUGAUGACAUGGCAGUCAUCUUAUUUAUCAAACCCUCUUUUUUUUUUUUUCUUCUCAUUCCUUCUAAAUAUAUUAUAAUUAAACAAAUAUUAAUUUAUAAUUGUUGUUUUAAUUAAUUUGAACAUUUUAAUUUAUCAACCACCAUUUUUCUCACUUGGUAUCCUCGUCUCCUACCUCUCCACACUCUGCAGCCAUGGCAGAGCACAUUGAGAAGGCUUUUCUUAAGCAACCAAAGGUUUUUCUAAGCUCCAAGAAAUCUUCCAAGGGGAAGAGACUUGGAAAGGGAGGGAAUCGUUUCUGGAAGCGCGUUGGAUUGCACAAGACUUGGCAAGACUUGAAACGCAGAAAAUGGUCGACAAGACUUGGCACAAACUUGCAUUGGCUUAAUUCUGCCAAGCUUUACAGUUAUGACAAGAUUUGGCUGACAUUUUGGAAGCUUAAACAUUUGUUGAAUCGCACAAAAGAAUGGAUUGAGAAAACUUCAGCUCACGUGGAUAAACUAUUGAGUGCAACUUUUCCAAAUGUAAAAGUCCUUAAUUUUGAAUUCGUGCUACUAAUUUUUGUGGGCUAUUGUAUUUUGCAAUUCAGUUAUUAUUUUUUGAAGAAAUGAUUUUAAAUUUGUGACACAUAUGGCAAGUUUAUGGCAAGUUCCAUUUUUAAAAGUUGUGACACAUAUGGAAUGGAAGAUAUAUAACAUAGAUUACAUUAAAUUGGGUUAAUUAAUAUUUUUUAGUAUAUUACUGGUAUAAAUUAUUGGUUACUAUAUUUUGCCAACUCAUUACUAUAUAACCUAGAUUACCCUAAAUUGGGUUAAUUUUUUUUAGAAAUUUUUAGCAAUAAAUUUUGACACGUAACCUGCUUAAUAUAUAAUCACAAUUUGCACUAUUUACAAUUUCACAUUACUAUAUUUAAUUAUUUAAACUUUUCUUUUAUAAUAUAAUUGUAGUCUCUUUCUCUAAUACCACUAAGUGUAUUAAUGAAUAUUAUUUUUCUAAAUAAAAUUAGUUUACUAAAUUAUUCAAUUUUUAAAAUUGAUCUUUUUUAUACCUUCGUAUUUAAUGUUAUUUUAAUUUUUUUAGAUUUGAUUUUUAAUUUCCUAUUUAAUUUUAUAAAAACAUUUUUAUAUGUAGCAUUAUUUUUACUAAAGUUUAGUGAAGAAAUUAUAAUUUUUUCAAAGUGUAAAGUGAAGAAGCUUUAAUCUUUUCAAAGUGUUCCAUGUAAGAUCAUACUCUCUCACUUUUGUUUGUUUUUCUACAUUUACAAUUAUAAAAGUCAUUACUUUAAUAUAAAUAUGAAAUUGUAUUACUAAUAUUUUAAUUUUGUUUAUGCAAAAAUAUAUUUUUCACAUUUUGAUAAUUUUUAUCUUAUUUUAUAGAAAUUGAUGAUGGAAUCCGAAAUGGAAUGGAGUAUACGAAUCGAGCGAAUGAGAAAUGAAUUGGAGUAUUUGAAAGUACAUUUGGAAAAUAAUAAAAAAUGUGAAUGUAAAUCAGCGAAGAAAAAUAAAUUAACAAAUGAAUCAAUGAACGUCAAAUCUUCAGAGUCAUUAUUUUCGGAAAAGCAUGUUAUUAGUGAAAAUGAGAUUAAGUUAUUUGAGCAUUUUAAUGUCAGUAAUAUUUUUCGACCGAUUGAUAAGAAGGUGUUAGAAUACAUUUUUUUUAAAUCCAAUCCAUCGUAAGUUUUUUCAUGUUUAUGUUUUUUUUUCUUUUGUCAUGCCUUAUUAUUUUAAUGCUUUUGUAUAUGCUUUAUUUUUUAUGUUUUAUUUUUAUGAAGGGAUGUUAUAGUUGAUUGUGGCUAUAGUUUUUUACAACGGCACGAGUUUUCGAAACUUGCACCUAAUAUGGAAUUGGAGACAGAGGUUAUAUGUUGUUUCAUUCUUUUUUACAUUAACAAUGUGAAUGUGUUUGUGUUUUUUUUGAUAAUUUUUUUUAUAUACAGAUUAUUACUAUGGUUUCAUCAUUGUUAACUGAAGACGAGAGGUUGAAAAAUGAGAAAGAGUGUAAAAUUUGGUAUUUACCAGUGAGAAUAUUGGUGAGAUUUUUGAUUGUAUAUUUUUUGGUCCACUUGUAAUACAUGUUUAGUGAUUAAGUUUUGUUUAUCUUUUGUAUAUAAUAUGUAGAACGACUUAUUUCCGUAUCCUAAUUUACCUUUACAUGAAAGUUGGAGGAAGAUGCAUUACUACGAAAGAUUUAUGGGCUCCCUUAAACAUUGCAAUGAAGUAUGUUUCGAUACAUGUAAAAACAAUUUUUUUAUUAUUUGUUUAUAAUGCUUUAAUCUAACAUCAGUUAUUGUUAUAGAUUUAUAUUCCUCUUUUGAUCCUUAAACACUACUUACUUGCUCGAGUGAUGAUAAAAGAGAAAAAAGUUGAAGUUUGGGACUCGCUUGCUCAUGAGAACUCUCCUAUAUUACAAUCUUCUAAGAUUGUCGAUAUUUUACGCAAUCUAGAUUUGGGCUUAGAGAAUGAAUUUACAAGCAGACAUUCUACUUUCAACUUUGCUAGCUUUCGUAUUGUUCGUGCGGCUAAUGUUCCUACACAACCAAAUGAUUAUGAUUGUGGAAUCUUCGUAAUAUUAUUCAUGAUUCAUCGUUGUAAGUUUGAUGGCAGGUCUUUUGCGUUUGACUCUAAUGAAGAAAGGUGCUACGUAGCAACGUGGCUUGCAUGUUCAAAAUACAAGCUUAGAAGACAUAUUUUGCAACAAGUCAGAGAUGGUAUUUGAACAACAUAAUAGUAGAUUGUUUUGCAAUUUUAUUCAAAUAAAGAUGUAUGAAGGAAAUACCUUCUAAUUAAAAACUGAGUAAUUUUUUUUAUUGGUUUAAAUAUUUAUUUUUUAUUAAUAAUGAACUUAUGCUGAUUGAUUCACUUUCAAAACUAAAUGUAACACCAAUAAAUUCAGUUCAAUGACUUCAUUAUUGAUAAUUUAAAUUGAUCAACUAUAAAAAUUAAAUUAAAUUAGAGCAAUUAAAAUUAAACUUAGUUUAGCAUAAAGCGAAUAAAAUUGACUCUUUCAAUAUUAUACUAGAUUGAAUUAAUGUUUUAUAUAAAAGUAUUUUGAAUAAAGGAAAUACUAUAAAGUUUCAAGAAAAGAAAACAUAGUAAUCUUUUCAUAGGAAAUUUGAAAACAAAAAACAUAGUAGUAAUUAGUUCUUCACAUUUUUCAUUCCUUCUACUUCUUUCUCCACAAAAUUGGUAUUAUUUAAGUAUAAAACCUACAACAAAAUAAUAGAGAAUAAAAAAAAAAUUAAUUUACUUGUAGAAGUGGCAUAAAAUUGUACUACUACUAGUUACUUAUAAUAUAUUUUUUAAAAAAAUAUACAACGUGGUAAACAUGGAAGUGACGAUCAAGGAAGGUAAAUAAUCACU